rnacentral:misc_RNA from 1 species
UUUUCUACAGUUUGUUUGCCUGGUAAUUGUGAAUUGAAGUUGUAAUGAGUCAAUCUCUGGAACAGGAGGAGGGGUGGGAUACUAGAAGGAGUCAGUGUACAUAGGGGGCUGGUUGGUGAAUUAGACCUCCCACACCAGUGCUGACAGCAAAACGCCCCCUACUAUAGUGAUGUCUUGAUUUUCUUGAUAACUCUAUCUUGAAGUUCCAAAGUUAGAAGAAAAUCUACAUUAAUGAUUUGUUAAAAUAAAAUAAUUUAUAUACUGGCAUUUGUUAUGACAACUUGGCUAAUGAAAGCAAACCUCUGUCUCUAGAUCUGUCUCUGGCAUUCUAACAACCAAACUAUUUUAAUAACAACUUAGAAUUGUAUACAAAUCAUUGUCAGUGCAUGUGUAUGUAUAAAUUUCAAUUAUUUUAAGGAAAAACACAUAUUUCCAAUAUAUUAUACUUACAUUAAUUUCUGUAUAACGUAGGUCUGUUAUAUGGUAGUAUUUACCAUUGCCUAGUACAUUAUACCGGUAUAUUAAAAAAAUCGAACAAUUU